UGAUGGAGCCUGGGCUGCAGGAUGAUGGGUUUGAUUAAUAACAUCAUCUUAAUAAAAUUUUUAAAUCUGUUCUUAUUAAAGAAAUCACCCCCGCUCCUUCCCUCACUGGCUUGCCGCAAGGGCGCCUGGGAGUUGUAGUUUCUCUGUACCCUAUGAAAGCCGCAAGAGGGACAUCAUGAUCCUGUCCAGAAGAGCAGAGCACCCAAUAAUGUUCUCCAGUGGAGCUGAUUUCCUGACCCCCCUGUCACCCUCGCUUGGCUCAUUAAAACGUCUCUUUGAGUGACGAUGGCCGACGAGAGACUGACGUGGCUGGCUGUUUAUCUCUUGAAAAUGCCAUUGGCCAGGCUUUGGAUCUCUCUGACCCUGUGCUUCAGUUCAAGAGGGCAAAGGAAUAGCACAAGAGCUCAGCCUGUGCUGGAAAAGAAACUGCUGGAGCCCAGGCUGCAAUGGAAACAAUAAUAAGCUAGCUGUACAGACAUGCUCUUUGAAACACAGCUUGCCUUCCUUCAGGCUGCCAAUUUGAAGUCAUGGUAACUUCCUGCAAGAGGGCGGAUUGCACAGGAGAGAGAUGAACAAGGUGUGGCCUCCCUCUGCACACGCUGGAAAGGAGAACCUGAGAAGAGGGAUUUCCUGGUGAGCUUCCUCACACUGCACAAAGGGCCUGAAGGUGAGGACUGUGAGCAAAGGGAAUGACCCAUCACUGUUAAGUAGAGGGGAAAAUGCUAAUAAACAACAUG